AGGUGAACCUGCGGAAGGAUCAUUCAUAAUAAGUGUUUUAUGGCACUUUUUAAAUCCAUAUCCACCUUGUGUGCAAUGUCAGUCGAUCUUCUUCAUGGAGAUCGACCAAACAUCAACCUUUAUUUCUUAACUCUUUGUCUGAAAAAUAUUAUGAAUAAACAAUUCAAAAUACAACUUUCAACAACGGAUCUCUUGGCUCUCG
rnacentral:misc_RNA from 1 species